rnacentral:rRNA from 1 species
GAGUUCGAAUCAGGCUCCGAGAGAACGCCGGCGCUUAACACAUGCAAGUCGAACGAGAACGGAUUAUAGCUUGCUAUAAUCGUCAGCUAGUGGCGCACGGGUGAGUAAUGUAUAGAUAACCUGCCCUUAAGAAAGGAAUAACAGUUGGAAACGACUGCUAAUGCCCUAUAUGCCUUUAAUACAUAAGUAUGCAAGGGAAAGCUUUAGUGCUUAAGGAUGGGUCUGUAUGGUAUCAGCUUGUUGGUGAGGUAAUGGCUCACCAAGGCUAUGACGCCUAACUGGUUUGAGAGGAUGAUCAGUCACACUGGAACUGAGACACGGUCCAGACUCCUACGGGAGGCAGCAGUGGGGAAUAUUGCACAAUGGACGAAAGUCUGAUGCAGCAACGCCGCGUGGAGGAUGACACAUUUCGGUGCGUAAACUCCUUUUAUAUAGGAAGAUAAUGACGGUACUAUAUGAAUAAGCACCGGCUAACUCCGUGCCAGCAGCCGCGGUAAUACGGAGGGUGCAAGCGUUACUCGGAAUCACUGGGCGUAAAGAGCGUGUAGGCGGGUAUAUAAGUCAGAAGUGAAAUCCAAUAGCUCAACUAUUGAACUGCUUUUGAAACUGUAUACCUAGAAUGUGGGAGAGGUAGAUGGAAUUUCUGGUGUAGGGGUAAAAUCCGUAGAGAUCAGAAGGAAUACCGAUUGCGAAGGCGAUCUACUGGAACAUUAUUGACGUUGAGACGCGAAAGGGUGGGGAGCAAACAGGAUUAGAUACCCUGGUAGUCCGCACAGUAAACGAUGUGCACCAGUGGCGGGGGUAGAACCCCCGGUACCGUAGCAAACGCAUUAAGUGCACCGCCUGGGGAGUAUGCUCGCAAGGGUGAAACUCAAAGGAAUUGACGGGGGCCCGCACAAGCGGUGGAGCAUGUGGUUUAAUUCGAUGGUACGCGAGAAACCUUACCAGGGCUUGACAUACACCGGAAGCGCCGUGAAAGCGGCGUGGCUUGGCCGGUGAACAGGUGCUGCAUGGCUGUCGUCAGCUCGUGCUGUGAAGUGUUGGGUUAAGUCCCGCAACGAGCGCAACCCCUGCCGUCUGUUGCCACCCGAAAGGUGGGGACUCAGGCGGGACCGCCGGUGCAAACCGGAGGAAGGUGGGGACGACGUCAAGUCAUCAUGGCCCUUAUGUCCUGGGCCACACACGUGCUACAAUGGCCGGUACAGAGCGCAGCGAGGCCGCGAGGCGGAGCGAAUCGCUAAAGCCGGUCCCAGUACGGAUUGGAGUCUGCAACCCGACUCCAUGAAGUUGGAAUCGCUAGUAAUCGCGCAUCAGCAUGGCGCGGUGAAUACGUUCCCGGGCCUUGCACACACCCCCGUC